CCGGCGACCGGCGCACGGGUGAGUAACACGUAUGCAACCUGCCCUCUUCAGGGGGACAACCGUUCCGAAAGGGAGGCUAAUCCCGCGUAUAUCGGUUUCGGGCAUCCGAGAUCGAGGAAAGAUUCAUCGGAAGAGGAUGGGCAUGCGGCGCAUUAGCUAGACGGCGGGGUAACGGCCCACCGUGGCGACGAUGCGUAGGGGUUCUGAGAGGAAGGUCCCCCACACUGGUACUGAGACACGGACCAGACUCCUACGGGAGGCAGCAG
rnacentral:rRNA from 1 species